rnacentral:lncRNA from 1 species
CGAGGCGCGCACCACGCGGCCCCUUCCUCCAGGCAUUCGCACCACCCCCCACUCCCGUUGCAUGCUGGGAUUGUAGUUGAUCGCCUGCGAUCAACGGCCGGAAGCGGCUAAAACUACUCCUGCCUGCAUACCCCGCAGGAGCAAACCGCGCCAUGUCUCCCUCCAGGGAUCCGCACCGCUCACAAUCCUGUUUAGUGCUGGGAUUGUAGUCCUGCGAGCCUACGACUAAUAGCUGGGUGCGGAUAAGAGACUACAGCUCCCCCCAUUCCCAGCAAAGGUCCCUCCUCCACCGAGCUCCUCCAGGCUUCCAGUGCAGUUCCGCCGUGCGGAGGGAAGCUUGGCUGUUCACAAACCUCUCCUGCCCGCGAGGAGACAGCUUGGCCAGGGCGGCUGAUCUCACCUUGUCAUUGUGACACGGUGUCUCCCCAACGUGCUGGCUUCAUGACUUGUGCCCAGAGUUUGAUUUUCCACAGACCAGGUAGAGGCCAAGAGCCUCUCACAGACUCUGCAGCAGGGUUGCUAUGAUUAACUCUUAAGUACUCCACAACUACACGCUUUUGAAACUGGCGUUGGCAUAGCGUUAGUUCUGUGCAGGGCGGACGCAGCAGGACAGAAUCUCCCUGGGCAUCUUUUCGGAGCAUCAAUUUUACUGCAAAAUUUUGAAAAAACAAAUUUAAUUGAUUUCCAAGGUUUGUCAAGGAGGACAGAAACUCAGAGCACCCUGCACUUGGGGAUCGGCACUAGGAGCUGCUCUCUGGAUGGGGAGAUGGGAGCUAGCAGCUCACAAUGGGGUCACAAGGACCCUUGUGAUUAUAUUAAGCUCACCCUAGUAAUCCAGGAUAACCUCCCUGCUUUAAAGUUAAGUGACUAUAACCUUUAUUCUAUCUGCAAUGUUAUUUCCCAUUGCUGCAUGACCUAAUAUAUCUGCAGUCUGGGGAUUAGGAUGUGGACACCGUUGGAAAAGCAUUAGUCUGUUUAUCACCGAUCUUAUUCACUAUUUUUAUUAAAUAUUAUUCUGGCCAUCUUCUAAU